CGCGGCCUAUCAGCUUGUUGGUGGGGUAAUGGCCUACCAAGGCGACGACGGGUAGCCGACCUGAGAGGGUGACCGGCCACACUGGGACUGAGACACGGCCCAGACUCCUACGGGAGGCAGCAGUGGGGAAUAUUGCACAAUGGGCGGAAGCCUGAUGCAGCGACGCCGCGUGAGGGAUGAAGGCCUUCGGGUUGUAAACCUCUUUCAGCAGGGACGAAGCGUGAGUGACGGUACCUGCAGAAGAAGCACCGGCUAACUACGUGCCAGCAGCCGCGGUAAUACGUAGGGUGCGAGCGUUGUCCGGAAUUACUGGGCGUAAAGAGUUCGUAGGCGGUUUGUCGCGUCGUUUGUGAAAACCCGGGGCUCAACUUCGGGCUUGCAGGCGAUACGGGCAGACUUGAGUGUUUCAGGGGAGACUGGAAUUCCUGGUGUAGCGGUGAAAUGCGCAGAUAUCAGGAGGAACACCGGUGGCGAAGGCGGGUCUCUGGGAAACAACUGACGCUGAGGAACGAAAGCGUGGGUAGCAAACAGGAUUAGAUACCCUGGUAGUCCACGCCGUAAACGGUGGGCGCCAGGUGUGGGUUCCUUCCACGGGAUCUGUGCCGUAGCUAACGCAUUAAGCGCCCCGCCUGGGGAGUACGG
rnacentral:rRNA from 1 species